rnacentral:lncRNA from 1 species
GCCGUGUGCAGACCCGCGUGUGGCGCAGGCAAGGACCCUGAAAAUAAACAGCCGCUGCUUUGCGAGUCUCCUUCUUGGGUCUACGUCCGAGUCUCCUCUGCUGUGGGCAGCUCAGACGCCGAAGCUCUAACUGCAGCUAUGAGCAGCAACGAAUGCUUCAAGUGUGGACGAUCUGGCCACUGGGCCAGGGAAUGCCCUACUGGUGGAGGUCGGGGUCGUGGAAUGAGAAGCCGCGGCAGAGGGUUCCAGUUUGUUUCCUCGUCUCUUCCUGACAUCUGUUAUCGCUGUGGUGAGUCUGGUCAUCUUGCCAAGGAUUGUGAUCUUCAGGAGGAUGCCUGCUAUAACUGCGGUAGAGGUGGCCACAUUGCCAAGGACUGCAAGGAGCCCAAGAGAGAGCGAGAGCAAUGCUGCUACAACUGUGGCAAGCCAGGCCAUCUGGCUCGUGACUGUGACCACGCGGACGAGCAGAAGUGCUAUUCCUGUGGGGAAUUUGGACAUAUUCAAAAAGACUGCACCAAGGUGUGGUGAAACUGGUCAUGUAGCCAUCAAUUGCAGCAAGACAAGUGAAGUCAACUGUUACCGCUGUGGCGAGUCAGGGCAUCUUGCACGGGAAUGCACAAUUGAGGCUACUGCCUAAUUAUUUUCCUUUGUCGCCCCUCCUUUUUCUGAUUGAUGGUUGUAUUAUUUUCUCUGAAUCCUCUUCACUGGCCAAAGGUUGGCAGAUAGAGGCUGUUCCCAGGCCAGUGAGCUUUACUUGCAGUGUAAAAGGAGGAAAGGGGUGGAAAAAAAACCGAAUUUCUGCAUUUAACUACAAAAAAAAGUUUAUGUUUAGUUUGGUAGAGGUGUUAUGUAUAAUGCUUUGUU